rnacentral:rRNA from 1 species
UGGGGAAUAUUGCGCAAUGGGGGCAACCCUGACGCAGCCAUGCCGCGUGAAUGAAGAAGGCCUUCGGGUUGUAAAGUUCUUUCGGUAGUGAGGAAGGCAUUUAGUUUAAUAGACUAGGUGAUUGACGUUAACUACAGAAGAAGCACCGGCUAACUCCGUGCCAGCAGCCGCGGUAAUACGGAGGGUGCGAGCGUUAAUCGGAAUAACUGGGCGUAAAGGGCACGCAGGCGGUGACUUAAGUGAGGUGUGAAAGCCCCGGGCUUAACCUGGGAAUUGCAUUUCAUACUGGGUCGCUAGAGUACUUUAGGGAGGGGUAGAAUUCCACGUGUAGCGGUGAAAUGCGUAGAGAUGUGGAGGAAUACCGAAGGCGAAGGCAGCCCCUUGGGAAUGUACUGACGCUCAUGUGCGAAAGCGUGGGGAGCAAACAGGAUUAGAUACCCUGGUAGUCCACGCUGUAAACGAUGUCGAUUUGGGGGUUGAGCUUUAAGUUUGGCGCCCGUAGCUAACGUGAUAAAUCGACCGCCUGGGGAGUACGGCCGCAAGGUUA